rnacentral:misc_RNA from 1 species
CUCUCUCUCUCUCUCUCCCUCUCAAAUAUUACCAGAUUCUGUUUUGAGCUGGCUUUGUAACAUUAUGUAUUGUUUUAUUCAUGUUCAAGUUAAUUCCAAUUACGGGAAUGAACUACAGGCAUUUUAUUGUUGAUAAUUUUUUGAUACUACUAGUGGGUUUUGGUAGUUUUGCACUAUCCUAAGCAUUUGGGUAGUUUUGGUAGAUAAAAUUGACUUUUGUGGGUUGGUGCUUCUAACUGUUUUGGAUGCA